UUAAUUUAAAUUUGUAUGGAGUUGAAACGUUUGCCUGCGUUUGCCGCUAGGGGCGCUGUUCCAACGACAUACAAUUUUGAGUUA
rfam:Bombyx mori DNA, contig: Bm_scaf292_contig42340, strain: p50T/Dazao, build 2, whole genome shotgun sequence.